AACUUCGGUCGAUUUAAUUUAAUUCUAGUGGCGGACGGGUGAGUAACGCGUGGGUAACCUGCCUUGUACAGGGGGGAUAACAGUCAGAAAUGACUGCUAAUACCGCAUAAGCGCACAGGACCGCAUGGUCCGGUGUGAAAAACUCCGGUGGUAUAAGAUGGACCCGCGUUGGAUUAGCUUGUUGGUGGGGUAACGGCCUACCAAGGCGACGAUCCAUAGCCGGCCUGAGAGGGUGAACGGCCACAUUGGGACUGAGACACGGCCCAGACUCCUACGGGAGGCAGCAGUGGGGAAUAUUGCACAAUGGGGGAAACCCUGAUGCAGCGACGCCGCGUGAAGGAAGAAGUAUCUCGGUAUGUAAACUUCUAUCAGCAGGGAAGAAUUAGGACGGUACCUGACUAAGAAGCCCCGGCUAACUACGUGCCAGCAGCCGCGGUAAUACGUAGGGGGCAAGCGUUAUCCGGAUUUACUGGGUGUAAAGGGAGCGUAGACGGAUGGACAAGUCUGAUGUGAAAGGCUGGGGCUCAACCCCGGGACUGCAUUGGAAACUGCCCGUCUUGAGUGCCGGAGAGGUAAGCGGAAUUCCUAGUGUAGCGGUGAAAUGCGUAGAUAUUAGGAGGAACACCAGUGGCGAAGGCGGC
rnacentral:rRNA from 1 species